rnacentral:rRNA from 1 species
CAGUCGCCACGGGAAUACAGAGGGUGCGAGCGUUAAUCGGAUUUACUGGGCGUAAAGCGUGCGUAGGCGGCUAAUUGAGUCGGAUGUGAAAUCCCUGAGCUUAACUUAGGAAUUGCAUUUGAUACUGGGAAGCUAGAGUAUGGGAGAGGAUGGUAGAAUUCCAGGUGUAGCGGUGAAAUGCGUAGAGAUCUGGAGGAAUACCGAUGGCGAAGGCAGCCAUCUGGCCUAAUACUGACGCUGAGGUACGAAAGCAUGGGGAGCAAACAGGAUUAGAUACCCGCGUAGUCCCUGUCUCUUAUAC